rnacentral:rRNA from 1 species
UACGUAGGGGGCGAGCGUUGACCGGAGUUACUGGGCGUAAAGCGCUUGUAGGCGGUCCACCAAGUUUGGGGUGACAGUUGCCGACUUAAUCGGCAAAGUGCCUCAAAGACUGGCGGACUUGAGGGCCACAGAGGGACAUGGAACUCCAGGUGUAGUGGUGAAAUGCGUAGAUAUCUGGAAGAACACCAAAGGCGAAGGCAGUGUCCUGGGUGGUCGCUGACGCUGAGAGGCGAAAGCCAGGGGAGCGAACGGG